ensembl:lncRNA
UCUACUCAGCUCUUCCCAGGAGGGUGGCACCGUUCCCCCCCUUUUGGUGGUCCUCCUCGGGUCCUUGUACUCUGGGGCCUCUGGAUAUCUGGGGCCUGGAUCUCCUCCAUACCUGCUUCACACCCUGGUGGACGGGGCUAUGGCUCCCCACACUCCCUAGCAGAUCGUUACAUGGAGAAACCUUUGGAAUACAAGCAUGCUGAUCCACACAGGUGUGCACACAGGUGUACACACGGGUGUUCACAGACGCGGAUUGCAGCUUUCUUGGCUGCUGCCUCAAAGCACAUUGUGCGCUGUCUAUCUUGCGUGCUGCACAAUAUCGUUUAUUAUUUCGUUUCUACUGUUAUCUACUGCUAGCUAGUUUAUUGUGAUGGUGCUGUUUUUUUUUUAUUAUGUUGCUUUUUGCUUUCUCUUCUGUUUUUUUUCUCCAUACAGGUGAUCCAGGUGUUUUGUUUGGGUUUUUUUUUCUUUCUUCCCCCCUUUCUCACCAUCUCUUCUCCCCUUUGGUUUUCUUUCUCUCCCUCUCUUUCUUUCAUUCUUUCUCCCUGUCCUAUCCCCCAGUCAUGUCUGUCCCGUUUGUAGCAACCGAAAAUAAAAUAAAUUCAAAAUUAUAAUAAAGGUCAAUCAAAUGGACCAAUAUGGCAAGGCCAUGAUGAUCCACUUGGUAAAAUAAAUCCGCUUAGCAUCUUUCUUGGCCUUAAGACAACAAUUCUGAUGGCUAAAGAUCCAAACGGGACACAAAAAAAAAAAAAAAAAGAAACAGAAAAGAGGAAAAACUUUAAAAUUUAAACAAACUAAGCAGUAAAACGCAAGAAGCUUCUACCAAAGAGAAAACCAGAAAUUAGAAUGUGUGACAUGAUGAAAUAUAAUAGCUUCAUACAUCUGAAAUUGAGAAAUAAGAGCAGGUUCAUGAAGCAAACUGCUUUCAUUGUUGUCUCUGUUCUCCAUACACCAGGCUUGGGCCGAAUAGCAAAAAGGUUGGGUGUUUAUUGGAUGAAGCAAAGUCUACAUAUGAUGUAUGUCCCUUCUUGGAAAAAUGUAAGCUGUUUGUCAUGAAAACUUUCAAGAACUUUAAUUCCCUGAGGUCUAAGCCACCGUACUUGAUAUUUAGGUAAAAGGUAGUUAUUGGCACAUUAGUCAGAAUGAUUGUUUUCUUUGUUCCUUGAUUGACUAGACUUUGGGGAACAAUUUAAUAAAAACUAUAGUUACAUAUUCUCAUCGCCUAGGGUUAGAGUUGGC